rnacentral:ncRNA from 1 species
CUACAUUCGAUGAACGGGAAAGUAGUGACCUUGGACCCUAGUCCCCAGCGAGCCGGGAGAGUGUGAGCCGGUACAGAUCCAGUCAUGAAGCGCACCCGGGAGAUGGACUUCUGAACUGACAGUAGGAAGCCCCGGCUGAAGGCCGUUAACCUGUGAGGUGGCCGAACCCUGUGUUCGGCAACGAGAGUGGUACCGCGAGCGCUUAUGUCCUCGUCUCUUUU